AGCGAACGCUGGCGGCAGGCCUAACACAUGCAAGUCGAACGGUCCUUCGGGACAGUGGCGGACGGGUGAGUAACGCGUGGGAACGUGCCCUUAGGUUCGGAACAACUCAGGGAAACUUGAGCUAAUACCGAAUGUGCCCUACGGGGGAAAGAUUUAUCGCCUUUGGAGCGGCCCGCGUCUGAUUAGCUAGUUGGUGAGGUAAAGGCUCACCAAGGCUACGAUCAGUAGCUGGUCUGAGAGGAUGAUCAGCCACACUGGGACUGAGACACGGCCCACGACUCCUACGGGAGGCAGCAGUGGGGAAUCUUGCGCAAUGGGCGAAAGCCUGACGCAGCCAUGCCGCGUGAAUGAUGAAGGUCUUAGGAUUGUAAAAUUCUUUCACCGGGGACGAUAAUGACGGUACCCGGAGUAGAAGCCCCGGCAAACUUCGUGCCAGCAGCCGCGGUAAUACGAAGGGGGCUAGCGUUGCUCGGAAUUACUGGGCGUAAAGGGCGCGUAGGCGGACAGUUU
rnacentral:rRNA from 1 species